UAGGGAAUAUUGCACAAUGGGCGCAAGCCUGAUGCAGCAACGCCGCGUGAGGGACGAAGGCCUUCGGGUCGUAAACCUCUUUUCUGGGGGACGAGUAAGGACGGUACCCCAGGAAUAAGUCUCGGCUAACUACGUGCCAGCAGCCGCGGUAAAACGUAGGAGGCGAGCGUUAUCCGGAUUUACUGGGCGUAAAGCGUACGCAGGUGGCUUCGUUAGUCGGACAUGAAAGCUCCUGGCUUAACUGGGAGAGGUUGUUCGAUACUGCGGGGCUUGAGGUUGGGAGAGGGACGUGGAAUUCCCGGUGUAGUGGUGGAAUGCGUAGAUAUCGGGAGGAACACCAGUGGCGCAAGCGGCGUCCUGGCCCACACCUGACGCUGAGGUACGAAAGCGUGGGUAGCAAACAG
rnacentral:rRNA from 1 species